rnacentral:rRNA from 1 species
UACGUAGGGACCAAGCGUUGUUCGGAUUUACUGGGCGUAAAGGGCGCGUAGGCGGCACUUCAAGUCGUCUGUGAAAUCUCCGGGCUUAACUCGGAACGGUCAGAUGAUACUGCUUUGCUCGAGUGCGGAAGGGGCAAUCGGAAUUCUUGGUGUAGCGGUGAAAUGCGUAGAUAUCAAGAGGAACACCGGAGGUGAAGACGGGUUGCUGGGCCGACACUGACGCUGAAGCGCGAAAGCCAGGGGAGCAAACGGG